AUGAAUUUGCUUUCCCACGAGGCUAUUGAGAUGAGAGAGGUGGUAACCAGGGACCUUGUCUGGACUGCUUCAGCCCUCCUCCAUCCCAGGACGUUCUCAUGUCUCCACAGGGUCAAUACUGCCGAGUAUCUCUUGAACUUGCUAACAAGAAGAGACCAGAGGCAGAUUCUUUACCAGCUGGAGCCACUGGGAAAUCAGUAUAAAGCAGAACGGGCCAUGUGCCACAGCAAAGGCUCUGAUGAAGAAAAACUUACAUCCACCUGGUGGAGAGAACAGUUGAAGACUCAAAGAUGGUAAAUGCUAGAAAGCAAUAGAAAGAACUAUUGCAGCCAUCACUCUUUUUUGCUGAUGAAGUCAUUGAAAGACAUGCUCAAAAAUAUUUGUUGAAUGAACAAAUUUAUGAGUGAAUCAAUUCAUCAGUGAAUUAAAGAAAACCAAUAGUCAAACUUGAGAAGACAUCACCUUUUCUUGACCCUCAGUCUGGAGAGAUUUCUAGAUCAUGAAAAUCCCAAAAGCAAAUGAUUUAUUUCAAUAGUAAUUAUUAUUAUUAUUAUUAUUAUUAUNNNNNNNNAAAUGAGGGUUAGGGUG
rnacentral:lncRNA from 1 species